rnacentral:rRNA from 1 species
UGGGGAAUAUUGCACAAUGGGCGAAAGCCUGAUGCAGCAACGCCGCGUGAGUGAUGAAGGCCUUCGGGUUGUAAAGCUCUGUCUUUUGGGACGAUAAUGACGGUACCAAAGGAGGAAGCCACGGCUAACUACGUGCCAGCAGCCGCGGUAAUACGUAGGUGGCAAGCGUUGUCCGGAUUUACUGGGCGUAAAGGAUGCGUAGGCGGAUUUUUAAGUGAGAUGUGAAAACCCUAAGCUUAACUUGGGGACUGCAUUUCAUACUGGAAAUCUAGAGUGCGGGAGAGGAGAAUGGAAUUCCUAGUGUAGCGGUGAAAUGCGUAGAGAUUAGGAAGAACACCAGUGGCGAAGGCGAUUCUCUGGACCGUAACUGACGCUGAGGCAUGAAAGCGUGGGUAGCAAACAGGAUUAGAUACCCUGGUAGUCCACGCCGUAAACGAUGAGUACUAGGUGUAGGAGGUAUCGACCCCUUCUGUGCCGCAGUUAACACAAUAAGUACUCCGCCUGGGAAGUACGAUCGCAAGAUUAAAACUCAAAUGAAUGACGGGGUCAUAGCUGUUUCCU